rnacentral:rRNA from 1 species
UUGGAGGGCAAGUCUGGUGCCAGCAGCCGCGGUAAUUCCAGCUCCAAUAGCGUAUAUUAAAGUUGUUGCAGUUAAAAAGCUCGUAGUUGAAUUUCGGAAUCAAUAUGCCGGUCAUGCCUUGGUAUGCACUGGUAUCUUUGAUUUCUCCCCUCUGACGAACUUUGAUGUCAUUAAUUUGGUGUCAUAGGGAAUCAGGACUGUUACUUUGAAAAAAUUAGAGUGUUUAAAGCAAGCUCACGCUUGAAUACAUUAGCAUGGAAUAAUGAAAUAGGACGUUUGAUUCUAUUUUGUUGGUUUCUAGGAUCGACGUAAUGAUUAAUAGGGAUAGUUGGGGGCAUUAGUAUUCAAUUGUCAGAGGUGAAAUUCUUGGAUUUAUUGAAGACUAACUACUGCGAAAGCAUUUGCCAAGGAUGUUUUCAUUAAUCAAGAACGAAAGUUAGGGGAUCGAAGACGAUCAGAUACCGUCGUAAUCUUAACCAUAAACUAUGCCGACUAGGAAUCAGACAAUGUUAAUUUUUUAAUGACUCGUUUGGCACCUUACGGGAAACCAAAGUGUUUGGGUUC